rnacentral:sRNA from 1 species
AGUACUAUGUUGAAUAGAAGUGGUAAAAGUGGGCGUCCUUGUCUUGUUCCAGUUCUCAAGGCGUUUCCUGGAAACAUCAACUCUGAUGGUGUGGUCCGGCACGAAUUACAGCAUCCGGUUAUCGCCCGCUAUGUGCGCGUAGUGCCUCUGGAUUGGAAUGGAGAAGGUCGCACUGGACUCAGAAUUGAAGUUUAUGGCUGUUCUUACUGGGCUGAUGUUAUCAACUUUGAUGGCCAUGUUGUAUUACCAUAUAGAUUCAGAAACAAGAAGAUGAAAACACUGAAAGAUGUCAUUGCCUUGAAAUUUAAGACGUCUGAAAGUGAAGGAGUAAUCUUGCACGGAGAAGGACAGCAAGGAGAUUACAUUACCUUGGAACUGAAAAAAGCCAAGCUGGUCCUCAGUUUAAACUUAGGAAGCAACCAGCUUGGCCCCAUAUAUGGCCACACAUCAGUGAUGACAGGAAGUUUGCUGGAUGACCACCACUGGCACUCUGUGAUCAUUGAGCGCCAGGGGCGGAGCAUUAACCUCACUCUGGACAGGAGCAUGCAGCACUUCCGCACCAAUGGAGAGUUUGACUAUCUGGACUUGGACUAUGAGGUACACAUGAUGAUGUAGAAAUUGUGAUAAAAUGUCGAGCAAUUUUGUCACUCUCCUACUGUAUUGUAUUAUUGUUAAUUAUAUUACUACUUAUACCAUUUUUAUUUUCUUCUCUAAACAAGACACUGACAAUUUUAAAAACCUAAUUAAUUUGUUUCAUUUUAUUUCUAAAUUUAUAAUCAUGAGGACUCGAAAUAUUAUAAAAAUCUUAGUACCAAAGUAAUAAUUUGAAGAGACGAACCAUGCUAUCCAGGCCAUUUAAUAAAUUCAGAAUAAAUUUGAUUUUUAAUCUUUCGUUGGUAGUUACUCAUGUUAUCAAUUCUCCCGGAGAAUGUGCAGUACAUUAUAUGCAGAGGGUUGUCUAAUAUUUAUUAUAAAGUAUUGAGUAAGAAAUCUUAGUUUCUGGUUUAUAUUAAGUCAUUUAGAAACUCAUGACUGUAGAUGGGUCUUUUGACAAGCUCUAUUUUCUCAGAGUCAAUAUUACAAAAGCAAUAAAGUAAAAUACAGACUAUUUUAAAAAGAUUGUUCAUGAAUAAGAAGACAUAUAUUACCUUCUCAAUAAUUAGAGAUUAAAAAUAAUCAAUGAUCACGUUUAUAUAAAUAAAAAUAUAUUUCCAUAGCUUAAGAGUAGGUAUAUCAUAUUUUUAAAUUACUCGGAGAGCAAUUCAACCUUAAAUAUCCAUUAAAACUGUUAAUCAUAUACGUAGGUGAGCUCUUUAAGAUGUUUGUCAGCCAGGUGUGGUGGCGCAUGCCUGUAAUCUCAGCACUUUGGGAGGCUGACGCAUGUGGAUCACGGGGUCAGGAGUUCGAGACCAGCCUGAGCAACACGGUGGAACUCCGUCUCUGCUAAAAAUACAGAAAUUAGCUGGUUGUGGUGGCACGUGCCUGUAAUCCCAGCUACUCAGGAGGCUGAGUAGCUUGAACCCAGGAGGUGGAGGUGGCAGUGAGCCGAGAUCGUGCCCCUGUACUCCAGCCUGGGCAACAGAGCAAAACUCUGCCUCAGAAAAAAAAAACAAAAAACAACAACAACAAUGAAAAAAAUAUUUGUCACAGUAUCAUACAUCCUAGGAGAAAAGGAUAACACUAUACAUACAAAAGCAACAGAAUGGUAAGAUAAAAGGGACGCAAUACUAUUACUUAGCCAGAAGUUUCCAAACUUUCUUAGUUCACAGAGCCCUUAGUGUCUUCAAACAUUUUCCAUAGCAGUCCUGAGCCAUUAGGUCCAAAAACCCUAAAAAUUUAUGUCCUAAGACUUUGGUAGCCAUUUAGAGAAAUAAACACAAAAUAAAAGUGAAAGUAGAUUUUUAUUUCAUUCUUAAACAACAGCAAUUAUUACUAAUGGGAUGAGUGCUAUUCCACUGUAUGCCUGGCAGAAAUGGGGAUCAGAUUUGCCACUGGCAUUCUAAUUUUCUAUCCCACUUUCACUCUACAUGAUACUCUGUCUUAAUCAGAGUAAUGACCAAAUCCAAAAUUCACAAAGACAGCACAUCAUUAAAAGGAAUGACACAUUAUCUAAUACUGGAACAGUAAACUACCUUAAGCUAGAGUUUCACACAAUGUCCAAAAGGUGUCAAAUAUUGUUGUGUUUUCUUUAAAAAUUUCAAACAUACUAUGGCACCCCGUUAGUUUUCUGCACCACCUUCAUGCUCCUUGGCACCCAGUUUUGAAACUGGAGAUGUACUCAUGUUUAUAUGUGUGUGUUAUGUAUAUUUGUAUAUACCCUUUUUGUAAGAAUAUGGAAUA